UACAGAGGUCCCAAGCGUUGUUCGGAUUCACUGGGCGUAAAGGGUGCGUAGGUGGUUGGGUAAGUUUGAUGUGAAAUCUCCGGGCUUAACCCGGAAACUGCAUUGAAUACUAUUCAGCUCGAGGGUUGGAGAGGAGACUGGAAUUCUCGGUGUAGCAGUGAAAUGCGUAGAUAUCGAGAGGAACACCGGUGGCGAAGGCGAGUCUCUGGACAACUCCUGACACUGAGGCACGAAAGCUAAGGGAGCAAACAGG
rnacentral:rRNA from 1 species